UGAUUAAAUCCCAAUCAGUGGCUCAUUAACCCUCCAGGGUGAGCAAACUGGGGACAGGAAUAAAAGCAGAAGCCUAUCAGAGUAAAAAUGAAUAAAAUCAACAUAAUUAGCAAUGGAAAGAGAAAGUUCCAGGAAGGUGGGGCUGUCCUUUAGGAGUUAGAGCAAGACAUUGGUGGAAAACUGAUCUGCUCUUCCACAGGGCUGGCAGGAUGGGAAGAGGUGACACAGGGAAUGCCAAAAUGAUUGAUGGCUUUUCCCCUCACUCCUCAGCAAGGAGAAUGAACAAUGGUCCAUUGAGUAACCACGAAGAACAGAGAGAGCAGAGCAGAGCAUUUCGGACCACUCAGUGCUGGCACUGCAAGCAGAGAUGGGCGGAAUGAACGGGGGGUGAAGGAGGAGCAGCACAGACCAGGAGCCACCACGGCUUUGGUGGCAGCACCAGCGUCACCUGUGGACUGCAACACCAGCACCCCUGGGAUUUGGGGUUUUGGUGGCUUUAACUGAGGUGGAGCCGUGUUCCACCUGCUGCAAGGUGAGUGUGGGCUGGGGAUGAGCACACAGUGCAACAGCAACAGAGAAAACAAAGCAGAAUUUCAUUUCCUGUAAGAACCAGCAGCUCUGCCCUGUUUGGUGAUGGCUUCUGACAGCCACACUGGAAACAGCAGGAAAAUUACCCUUAGAAAUCCACAGGACCAAACAAAUGCCCUUUAGCAGAGGGGUAAGGCAAAAGUUACCUUUUUUAACUUCCAUUCCUGCGCUCUUCACAUGAAAUCUGAACACUGACCAGCACGAAAAUGCCAAAGAAACUGGAAUGCUUUAAGUUUGCUUUCUUUCCCGUCUUCAAAAAAAAAACCGCAAAAGGCUCUUACCACUUUGUAGCCCUACCAAAAUAAAUGAUUACCAAUAAUGAAAUUGUUCCAUAUCACAUAAACAACGGCCC
rnacentral:lncRNA from 13 species